rnacentral:rRNA from 1 species
UACAGAGGUCUCGAGCGUUGUUCGGAUUCAUUGGGCGUAAAGGGCGCGUAGGCGGCGGGGUAAGUCUGGUGUGAAAUCUAGGAGCUCAACUCCUAAACUGCACUGGAUACUGCUCUGCUAGAGGACUGGAGAGGAGACUGGAAUUCACGGUGUAGCAGUGAAAUGCGUAGAUAUCGUGAGGAAGACCAGUGGCGAAGGCGGGUCUCUGGACAGCUCCUGACGCUGAGGCGCGAAGGCUAGGGGAGCAAACGGG